CUUCCAAAAGGUAGAAACAUCAGAAAAAUGAACUGAAACCUGCUUUGCAUUACUAUGUCAGCUGCCUGUCACCAUCCAAAAUAGCCAAUACUCUUCAAAAGCUGUAAAAUCAUCUCAAAGCCUGAGCUGACAAAAGCUUCACUAAAUUGUGACUGCAAUGUUAGGAACACGUAACCUCCUAGGCCACCACUAAACAGAAGGAGACAGCCUGGAGAAUUCUCAUGGGUUCAGCUUGGAAGUGAGAGAUGUGUCUAUUUUCUCACUUUCAAAAGAAGUCCUGAAAACAUGAAGUCCUGAAAAUUUUCCUGAACAUUGACAAGAAGCAGAAUGUGAUCUUAGAAAAAAGAAGACGAUAUAGACAUUGAACAAAUAACCUAAUUGUGCUUGAUAUGUGCUCAUUCUACCACCACUCUCAACCUUCAGCUUAUUGAAGAAAAAAAUGACUGAAAAGCUUUUCCUAUGUUUUCCUUCCUCUAAGUCAUCAUAUUCAAUAAAUAGCUGAUUAAUUGAUGAGUAAGAAAGAAUAUGAUUGGAUUUCUUGGUCAUUUGUGCAUUGCAGAAUGCCAUUACCUUCUUCCUUCUUUUAUAAGCAUUGUAUAAGUGUCCUUAGGAAUGCUGGCUUAAAAG